rnacentral:rRNA from 1 species
GAUGAACGCUGGCGGCGUGCCUAAUACAUGCAAGUCGAGCGAACAGACGAGGAGCUUGCUCCUCUGACGUUAGCGGCGGACGGGUGAGUAACACGUGGAUAACCUACCUAUAAGACUGGGAUAACUUCGGGAAACCGGAGCUAAUACCGGAUAAUAUAUUGAACCGCAUGGUUCAAUAGUGAAAGACGGUUUUGCUGUCACUUAUAGAUGGAUCCGCGCCGCAUUAGCUAGUUGGUAAGGUAACGGCUUACCAAGGCAACGAUGCGUAGACGACCUGAUAGGGUGAUCGGCCACACUGGAACUGAGACACGGUCCAGACUCCUACGGGAGGCAGCAGUAGGGAAUCUUCCGCAAUGGGCGAAAGCUUGACGGAGCAACGCCGCGUGAGUGAUGAAGGUCUUCGGAUCGUAAAACUCUGUUAUUAGGGAAGAACAAAUGUGUAAGUAACUAUGCACGUCUUGACGGUACCUAAUCAGAAAGCCACGGCUAACUACGUG